rnacentral:lncRNA from 1 species
GAAUAAAAAAGUAUGCGUUAGAUAAUGAUAUGUGAUGUAAUAGAUGGAAGGCUAUUGGUGAAUGGGAUAACAUGUGGUCCAUGAUCCCAUAUUCUCUCACUACCACCGUUUCAUGCCGAUAGGAAAAAUGAGUUUACUUUAUUAAACAGGUAUUAUAUAUACCUAAUUCGUAUAAACGAAUCUUAAGUAACAUGUGGCACGAGGAGACUAAUAUUUAUUUUACAUUAUAGCAAUUAUGGUUAAAAUGUUUUUUUUACAAUCGGUUUGACGUUUUUACUAUGGUACUUUAAUUUAUAUGAGUUUAUUAUUUAAAAUAAUUUAAUACUCCAUUGCAACACACUUCUAAAUGUCUUUCAUAUAUAUUUAAAAUAUUAAUAUAUAUUCCUAUAAGAAACUUUUUCACAAUUAUGCACAUGUUUUAGCUUUUUGACAGAAAUAAAGAUAUCUCACUUUCGUUUUAACAUUUUUUAUAAGAGCCAUUUGCACAGAAAAUAUCAAAUAAGUUGAUAAUUUGCAUAGAUGGAAAAACAGACAAAAGUGGAGAGAGAAAGAAGUUAAAAUGACAUUUUAGUCCUUUCUCUUUCUUACAUCUAUUUUUAUGGUUUAGGUAAUUAUAUAUUGUUUCUCUUUCUUAAGUUUGAUAUUUCUCACGUUUAUUACAAAAGAAAAUCAAUAGCUUCUAGCCGAAAACUCUCAAACUCAUUUUUCGAGGGUCGUCGACUGAUAUACUACUCAACGCCGACGUCGAUCUCGUUCCUCCUCUUUCAUUCUUCUCUUUAACAUAUGAUUCUUCAUGGCUACUUUCUUUGUGUUGGCUGGUUCAUUCCUUACGGUGUCGUCAUCUUUAUUGGUUGUACAUCACCGGACAUUCCUCGUCACACUAUAAAAAUGGUAGAUUUGGUUCGGAUUGUUUUACAGAGUUGACUAGGUGAGUUUGUUUUGAGUUAACUCAACAUAACGAACCGGCUCAUUAUAUAAUUUGAAGUUGCAGAUAAAAUUUUACUUGUUCUAAUAGCUGACACACAAAUAGCUGAAAUUUAUUAGCCGGAUAAACCUUUUCAUGUUCAGCUAAGAAAAAUAUAAAACCACAUGUACGAAAAUGUUAUAGGUGUGCACUUAAAAUUAUUGUUCGGAUAAAUUUUUUCAUGUUCAGCUAAAAAUAAUAAUAAUAGAUGUUUGGAUUGUGUCUGAAUAAUUGGAUGUAAAAAAUUCACAUAUUCGGCUAAGUAUAAUAUUAGCUUCCUAAUAAUUCACAACAAGAUAUAAUUUAAAAAAUUGUUAGCCGGAUAAAAAUUGCUUUGUAGAACUAAUUAUUUUAUUAGCUCUCAUUUGAAACUGGUAGAAAUUUAAAGAACACUGUUAUAUGUUAAUAGAUAUGCUAACAUGCCAACAAUGUCAUAAAACAUGCUAACAAUACCACAAUAUUAUUCGAAGAUACAUAAACAGAUAAAUGGUUAUAUGCUAUUAAAAUUGUUAGCAGUCUAACAUUGAAGGGUAUUAAAUAUGUUAACAGUCUAGCAGUUAGUUAUAGAUAUGUUGAUAGCAUUUGCUCGUAAAGAAUCACAAAGAACAUCGCGUCCGACACAACUCCUAUGCACUGUCCAAGAAGUCCACAUACGCUGCUCCUCUGAUUCCAGUAUACACGUAAUUUGCCAAGGUGCUUUUGUGGAGGUUGUUGACUAGGCAGUUCAUUGAUGGUUCCAAAGAUUGAUAUCCAGAAGCCAUUAUGUGCUCAUCAAACAAAACAAUAGCAUCAACUAGUGACCUGAUCUAGUCAUCAAACAAAGCAAUAGCAUCACUUAAAGGUUAUCUUGUUGCUCAAAGAUCAUGGCGGAUCGGAUAAGUAUACAAAUAUACGGCUAAGUAUAUAAGGCUACGGAUAAGUAUACAAAGAUACGGAUAAGUAUAUAAAGCUACAGAUAAGUAUACAAAGAUAUGGCUAAGUAUACAAAGAAUAUGUCUAGGUAUAUAAAGAUACAGCUAAGUAUAUAAAGAUCCGAUGCAAUAAGGGAUAAAUAGCCGGUUAUUUAACAGGUACGACACACACAAAAAAAACAGACAACAACAUUUAUGGCCAUCUUGCAAACAUUACUAGCAUGAGUACUGUCAGUAGAUCAACUCUGGAUUAAAGAUGUCCUAAAUAAACAUGGCUAUCGUCUUAACUGACCAGAGUAUGGUGUCUGAUCAGAAAGCUCUAAGAACUUACUGAUAGAUGAUCUCUUUAUAACAUUGAUUUCGUCUGCAUCCAGAAAAACGCAAAUAAUCAAACAACUAUAGGUCCAAAAAUCAAACAAAAGAAGAACUGGAUCUAUCAAAACAGAGAAACACAAUGAAAAAAAUCAGAAAGACACAACACCAAGGGUAAAAAUCCAUCGGACACUGGCCCUAAAACCCAGAUGUGUGUUGCUUUGAUUCUCGCAUACUCUAAUCAAACCUUAAACAAGACAAUAUGACAUUAACAACUAGGGACAUGCUUUACUUCCGAUGAUAUCAAACCCAGAAAAUUCAGACAUAAGCUUAGCAAAUCAAAUACUCAAACCGAAGUUAAAAAAACCCCACAAAUAGAAAACCCAUAAUGAAAUCGUGGAUCCAGUCAAAGAAACCAAAUCAAGAAUCAUAUAAGAGAAGAGGAUGAUAUACCCUGAAGACGAAGGCGUUGAGCAGCGUCAUGGGAUUCAUAUUGCAUACAAGGAGGAUUGCGUGAAUCUCAUCCUCACUAUAGUUCCCAGCAGUGAUCUCUUCGUCUUCUUGGUAUCCGCCGUAAUCGAAACCCUAGUACCACUCCCCACCAUCCUCUAUUUUUCAAACGAAUAUAGCUUCUGGUAAAUGAAUCUGGGACCAAAUCGAAAAGGUUUGAGCAGUCCUGUAUAUGUAUUUAUACGAAUACGCAGGAGAGUGGAGGAUGGGAUUUGAAACUAGAUUGGUGUUUCGAGGAGGAAGGAGUAGAAGAAGAAAGAAAAGGGGGCGAGAAAGGAGAGAGGAGAGAGAUAUAGGGAUUUUGGAAAACAUACAAAAUAAGUUGUGUAGAAAAAGGUAGGGACAAAACUGCCAUUAAAAAAAAACACAUCAUCAAAAAAAGCAUAAUUCCAUCGGUGCAAAUAUAGCAGUUAUCGGUGUAUAGGAGUGCUAAUUUCUCUUUUUAUAAUGUGUGGAGACAAAGUCAGGGCUAUUCAGACAACAAUAUCUUACCACAUAUUUUCUACUCGUGAAAGAGUCGGAGUUAUGUUCUCUGUCAUCGGGAGUUAAUGAAUUUAGACAGUCUUUGAACAUAUUGUUAGGUCAAACGCAGAGUUACCUCUUUCAUGUUUUUCACCCUCCACGCGUUUUAAAAUACAGUAUAUUUUUUCCAGCGUAAAUUGAUACUGGAAAACGAUACUUACUAUUUGCCAAGUCAUAUAUAUUCCAAGAAAAUAACAUUGUUUCAUCAUUAUCAAGUCAAAUGAUAUAUAUAUAUAUCUUUUAACAAAAUAAUGAAUCUAUACUUAUAAAUAAAAGAAUCUAUAUCAAAAUACUUCAUUGGAAAGAUAUACAUAACCGAACAGAAAAAUUGGUGAAUAUUUUGUGAUUUACCAACCUUUUACUAUCAAAUAAACGGUGGUAUUUAUCACAAAGAUGUGGUUUCUUUGAAUUUUGAUACAACCCUUUUUGAAAAGGAAGAUAUUUUAAAAUGGAAUAAACUAAAGACUAACUCAAAAUUAGGGUUUUACCCGAACUUCAAGAUAAUAGUUUUUUUCAUUUGAUCAGCUUUAUAAGAUCAUAUAUGCAUUAUACAAGAAAAAUAUUGUUUCAUCAUAUUCCAAAUAAAGAUAUAUGUAUUAAAUUUGCCAAAAAAAGUUUCAUGAUGCACUUAGAAACUUCUCCAGGAAUUAAAAAACUUAUAUGGCGCAAUUUGAGUAAUUGUUUAUUUUUUGGUCUUGAACAAAAAUGUGAAAUUGGCCUAGAAGUUCAUCGCCAUAAUAUAUUUGCUAACCUGGUAAUAGGUACCAAAAUGGCAAAACAUGAAUAAUAAAUUAUUACGUAAUAACACACACUAUCGUUACAAAAAAUGCAGGACCCUGGAGAUUAAUACCCGUGACAGUCCGCACUCGUGGUCUACAAAACCACCAUAAGGGAUUUCUUAUCAUUUUCUUGGGAGUAUAUGUUUUGUAGAUCCAUCUUUGGACUUUGCUUUAUGGGUGGCUUGUAUAUAUAGUAUUAUUUUCAAUAAAAUUCGCGGCAUAUUCCAUUUUUGCAUUUGUUCUCAACUCUCAGCAUUUAGCACCAGUAAAAACUAUUCGGUAUCUCAGAAGAGAAUUAAACGAGCGAAAUAAUUGAAUUGUUUAACGGACGCUUUAUACAUUAACACGUCACGAGCAGAAUAAGUUCAUUAUAUUUUGAGUACAUAACACGCGUCGAGCGAAAUAACUUAACGUACAAUUGGUAAUUACAUUUAAGAUUAAUUUAUUUUAGGGGCCCUUUAUUUUAAUAAUUUAAUUGGUGUAUUUUAUGGUAUCUAUUGAGUUGGCAAAAGAAAAUAUUGAGUAUAUAUUCCAGAUCAUGAGUUCGAUGACGAAGGUGGCCAGAAAAGAUUAACAUAUUUUUUGAUCUCCGAAUUGAGAAAAAUAUGAACUUAACCUUAUAACAUUUUUUACUUUAGUUAAAAUAUAAAACAAUAGUGAAUAGUCUGUGAUAUUAAACUAUAUAGGGUGCAAUAUUGCUCUAGUUUAGAUAGUUAAGUUACAUUUUUGCUUAAAUAUUAAACUACAGGCCUGUGAUACAUUAAACUAUAUACGAUGUAUUUCUAUAGUUCAGAUAAUUAGACGUAAUUAAUCUCCGCAAUUGAUAUAUCACAUCAACCUCUGAUAUUUUUGUUUGUUUGUUUUGUCUGUUGAGUUGCUUUUUUGGCCUUGUUUUGUCUGUUCAUUGGCUGUCGUUAAGAAAAUACUUAAAAACAAAAAAAGUUAAACGCGAAUAACUAUUCUAAUACAAGCGAAGAACUGAUUCCCAAAAAGUAAUUAGCUCCCAGUUUGACCAGAAUUCAUUCACAAAAGUCAAGAUCUUUUAUAGGAUUGUCGUUGCCGUUUAUAGGUUAUGAGAUUUGACCACUAUGAACUGCAAUGGUACUGUUCAAUCCAAUCCCAUACCACGCAAAUGUCUCUCUUUCCAUACAUCUGUCCCAUUGCAUGUAGGAGGGAGAGAGAGAAGAAAGAGACAGAAAAAACAAAUACAGAGAUAAGACUCUUGAUAGAGAGUGAGCGACAUGGAGAGAUAAGGUUUUUUGUUUCCUUCUUUAACAUAGAUUCUUUCUCUCUUCACAUUUCCUCUUAAUCUAAUCUUUAUUUCCUUUGUUCUUUCCUGUUUGGUAAUUUAUUUUCCUCUCCGCACGAUUUGGUCAAAACCCUAGAUUUGUGGGUAUCUAAAAAUGAAUAAAACUUUCCUCUCUUCCUUUGGUUAUAAAUAUUCUCUCUGGCUUUCUUGCUUACCCUAAGCCCUCUCAGAUCUGACUCUACAGCCUCAGGGUCUCCUUCUUUCAAACGCCUUCGGUCUCUGAUUACACAAUUUGUGUCGGUAGGCCAUAUUGAGUGAGUGUUUUGGGACAAGUUUUAGAAAAACGCAAAGAAACUGACAGAAGAGAGUGAGCACACAAAGGCACUUUGCAUGUUCGAUGCAUUUGCUUCUCUUGCGUGCUCACUGCUCUAUCUGUCAGGUUCCGGCACCGAUUCUUUUUGGUCCGUUCACGUUUUCUUCUUUGAUUGUGUUCCCAUCUCUCUCACUUUUGUGUUCCCAUCUCUCUCACCCACUUUCUCUCUCCAUAGGUAAAUUAUAUACGGUAUUAUAUCUAUACUAAUUUGCUCUUACAUUCCUAGAUUUGUUACUAAUUGCAUGCGAUUUUGCUUUUUGUUUAUUCUUGUUGAACGUUAUAUUCUAUGAGAUCAUUAAUAUCGAAAAUGCUUUAAUCUAUGUGUUUAAGGCUUGGUUAAGCGAGAUUAACAUGGGACCAUUAACGUUAACCUAGUUUUCCUUAGGCUGGUCCUAACGCUUUUGAAUCCUUAAUUUUCUCGAUUCAAGCUAUAUUAUUAUAUGGUUAGCUUUUCCUUCUGUUUUAUCGGUUUCUCAUUAGCUUUUAUAACCCGUGAUCUAGUCUCUUGAUUCAUAAUUAUGUUUAGAGCUAUCCUUUGCUUCAUUUGAUCACAUCUAUUUUCAAUCAUGGAUCUUGCAAGAGUACUGUUCAUGAUCCAGUUUAUUGGUUUUCUAGCUUAUUUAUUUUGUGUGCUCGUACAUUUUGAUUCCCUGAAAUAUGUAAUCAUGUAUCUAAGUUAAACUAUUAUGUUAUCAAUAGUUGAAUUGUGGUAUAGAUGGUAUCCAAUUUAUAUAUAACUGAUUCCAUGUGAUCACGCUGUGAAUUUUGCGAGAAUGUUUUUGUGGGUUUGGUUCUUGAUAUAUAUAGGAACAUGUUUUUGUUUUUCGCAUUUAAUCCUGUAAACAACCAUAUAGACACAUUAAUUUGUGUGUGUUUUCGAAACUCUUCAUGUAAUUUUGGGGUCCAGAUGCGGUUUGUAUAUGCAUUUGCUGAGAAGAACCAAUUCAAUAUAAUGGUUAAGAAAUUUACAGUACUUGCAUUGCUUUAUGAAUGCUUCAUGUAUGCGUUUGCAUUACUAAAUUUUGAAGAACAAUUCAGUAUAGUGGUUAAAAACUACAGUACGGAGUUGCUUUGUGAAUCCUUACUGUGUGCGUUUCCAUUACUAAAUAUUGAAGAAGAUUAAAAUGUGAUUUUUUGGUCACCCAGAUCAAAUUCUUAUUUAUUUAAGCCAAAACACUAUUCCCUGGUUGCAAAUUUAUUGAUAGUCUCUUAUCGAUGACAGAGAUAGAACAAUUUAAACUUGGGAUUUGUUUGUGAGUGAUGAGGUUAUGAAUAGGACUUCUUCUUAUCGGUGUUACCCAAGGUCCUGGAGCUUCUCACCAAAAGCUCUUGCUGGGUAACAGUCGACGACUAUCAAUUGUUCUUGCGAACAAUCGCCUUAGGGAUUAAGGUGAAAUUUCUCCAUGGGGUUCUUCAUCUUGCUGAGCUUGACUCGCCUCUUAUAGGCUUUAUCUCGAGGUUUCUUAGUGCGUUUUACUUUUGUUGUACCGUCGAAUCUUCUGUUUUGGUUGAUUCGGUUUUGGUUGUAAACUUUCAUGCUCCUUGAAAGAUGGUGCUUUCUGAUACGUGUGAAAUGUAUGAUAUUUAUUCUCAAGUGGCAUGUUUCUUAUAAGGAUCGAUAUAAUAUAAGGUUGUGCUAGAUGGAAAUUGUCACAUGAUGGUAAUUAUGUCAUUUGAAAUGGCAUAUUGUUUUACGUUUUGCCUUACAUUAAUGUUACAAGUUAUGACCAAAACUUUUGUUUGCAUUCAUAUGAGGUGCCCUUUUGCGUGAACUAGGAAGACAUAAUCAAAGAGCAUCAAAUAACGCCCUUGUGUGAACAAGUUACUUUGUUUGGUUUUCAUGUUGUAGUAAGUAAUCUUGUCUUUUGAUCAGAUGGAUAUGUUAUGUUACGAGACUGUGCUAUCGAUCGACCUUCUGAUGUAUUUCUGUUCAUCCUGUUUCAGGUUUGGAUUGUCUAUGCCAGAGAUGAACGCACUGUUUAUGGUAACCUAUUAACUUGUAAUCUUUUGGGAUGUUGAUUUACGGUUUUUGUGUCAUGUUUUAUCAAUUGAUUGCCGCAGGCUUCACAUAUGUAUAUAUGAUUGUUCUAGUCUAGAGUCAGGAUAUUAAACAAUGUUUGACUCAUUAUAAGGUGAGUAGGAUGUGGAUAUAGAAUUGUUUUUGUGCACAUCCAGUAUCGGAAUACGUACACUAAUAAUUUAAUUGGUUACUAGAUUUUGACCCGCCCUUCAGAGGGCGGUUAUAUUUUUUGUUUGUAUUUUCUUUGUUAGAAAUGAAAUAUUCAUAUUUGUGUCUUUUGUAAUCAUAUUUGUAGUUUUUUUUUGUAAUCAUAUUUGUGUAUAAUAUUUUUUUAAAAAUUUAGUAAGAACUUUUGUUAAUCUAUACUAUUAUUUGCGAAGUAAAUUUUUAGAAUCGAGCUCUCACGUUAAAAGUUAGAGUGGUUAAUAUCGUUUAUACCCUUAAUGAAUAAAAUAUAUAAAUAAACUAAAAAAUUUAAACGAAAUUUCAAUUUAUUUGAUUAGAUAAUUGAUUAAAAUUAAUAAUAGUAAGAAUUAUCCAAAAUCUGAAAUAUAAUUUAAACAGAGAUAAUUUAUGUAUAUAUUGUAUUGUUAUCUGAAAAAGUCUUAUAGUAAAAAGUUAAAAACAUAAAUUAUAUAACUAAAUAUUAAUCAAAUAAAAUUCUUAAUUAUAUAAUUAAAAAUAGAAUAUUGAAUUAUCCAUAAUCUAAAAAGAUAAUUAAAAAAAAUUAUAUCUAUAUAUAUAUUGUAUUGUUAUCUGAAAAAGUAUUUUAGUAAAAAGUUAAAAACAUAAAUUAUAUAAUUAAAUAUUUAUCAAAUAAAUUUUUUUAAUUAUAUAAUUAAAAAUAUAAUUUUGAGUUAUUUUAAAAUUUAUUUUAGUAUAAUGAAGAUAGUGUACAAAGAACUUUUCAAAAAUUUAUGAAAAUGUUUAAGCCCGCAUCGCGGGCAAAACACCUAGUUCUAUUAAAUUUGUGAGGUUGCCAAAGUAUACACUUGUUCCAUAGUCAUUUCAUGCAUUAAUUUUGAUUUUUUAUCUAAACAGUUAUAAAUUUGUUAUUUUUAAAAAAAAAUAAUAAAGCAUAGUUACAAAUUUGUUUAGUAAUUAAAUAGUGUAAUUAAAUAUUUGUAAAAAUAGUUUUCCAUUAAAUUUUCAUCAUUUGAUUUUAUAUAUAAUGAUUUAUAAAAUGUUAUUAUUACACAUAAUAAUUUAUGAUGCAAAUAAAAAUAGGUUUAUAAUGUUUGAUCCAAUGUAAAUGAAAAGCCCACUUUAAUUGUUAACAACCAAUUCUAGUUAAGCUAAAAAAUCGGGAAGCUCAAUUGGUAAACAAAACCUAGAUUCUGUUUUGCCAUUCAUAAUCCAUCUCCUUAAAAGUAGGACUUGGUUAUGGAACAGUUUUGUUUCUUAGAUGUCGUAUAAAUAAAAGUUAUAUAAGCAGUUACAUAUUGAUGCUGUAUUUUUUUAAAAUGAACUCAACUAAUAUCAAUGGGGCAUGUUCCUGUUUUAAUAGUAUUGAUAUGUCGUUGCGACUGAAUUUUGCCUGAAUCCUGAAUCCUGAAAUUGUCCAAGUUCAAUGUUAUCAAGUCAUCAUCUUAAGAAACUGAAGUAUUACCUGGUAAUUGGCUCUUCUUGAUAAGCUAGCCACUUAAAAUCAUUUCUUGUGAAGAGCAUUUCCUUCUUUUCUAAAACUUAUUUUGUUGUAUAAUAUAGGCACAAAGAAACUAGAUGUGAUAAAGAAAAUCGAAUUAAAUAUUCCAGUCAGCCGUUUCAAAAUAUUCAAAAGAUUAUAUUCUUCUUGAAGCAAUAUAAAGUCAAUAUUUAUCAACCAAGUUGAUAAUAAUGAAAUAAAAGAAAUCAAAACAUGUAAAUUACAUAUUUAAUUGCCGCUAACUUAACCAAAGAAAGUUUCCCUCUGAUUACUUAACCAUUAUCUUAAAUUGUGUUGUUGUAUAUAGUCUUUAAACCUUCGAUUACGUUGAGUAGAAAACAUGGAGGAGUCGAGCGAGAGGGUUGUUCGGUUAGAGCAACACGAUGAGAUCACGACGGGCGAUGACUUGGUUAUCCAUCCCAUCCCACAGGACCUAGCACUAGCAGUAUCGGCGAUAUAUGAUCGCAUGAUGGUAGAUGUGGAGGAGUUAUUGUUUAACCAAAUCAGAGACACCUUCCUCUCGUAUACCAGUACCCCAUCAUACUUAGGCUUCGUCGGUCUCCCCGACGAAGAAUGUCAACAACCACGGCCAGCUCUUCGUAAUGCUAGAAGGAGACGCCCUCCUCCGGCCCGCGUAUCUCGACGGUCCUCGCAGGUGUCUCCACCCGUUUAUCUCCGCCAUAGGUUUCUGCCACAGUCACGUAAAGACUCAUCUUCUAGACGCCAACGUUAAUCUUCUAAUCAUUAUAUGAGAUGAUGUUCUUUGUGUCAUUGUGUGUUGUGUCUACAUAUCAUUAUAAUAAUCGGAUGUCUCCGAAAAGUUUAUUUGAAAUUCGGGUCUACCAUCAUAAACCGGGAAAUUUAUGUACCACCUCCAGGUUAUUGAAACACUAUCAAUCAACUUAUGAACAGUUUAUUUAUGCCUCAAGUAACUUCUUGGUGUCCUGUAGCAUCUCAAAACCAAAACGUUGAUAGUAUCAAAUAUUAACCAUAAUCUUAUCUACUUAGGAUUGCUAUGGCUUGAUAGAUUCUCCAUAUACACACUUUCUCUUGGAACUAUUUUUUAAUUCUUAGAUGAGUAAGUAUAUAUGGUCUAAUAAAAAAAAAAGUAUCAUGUAAACACAAACAAAAUAAUAUUCUUUAUGUUUCAAAAUGUUACACGUUUUAAAAAUUUCAUUCAUAUAAAAUAUAUAUUUUGAUUAUAAAUGUAUCAUUUUGUGAUUAACUAUUUCCAUAAUUUUUAGCACAAUAUAAUAAUCAUAAUUUUUUUUUAAAUUACAAUUUUAGUUAAUAAAAGUAUAUUUAAAAUCUAAUAUAAUUUAUCUUUUUGAAACAAUUUUUUUCUCUAGCAGAUAAUAUUUUUGAAACAGGAGUAUGACAUUUACACAACCUUAUGUUUUGUACACUUUACAUGACAAACUGUUCUGCAGAUGCUCCACUUAGUGCAGAGAGCUCUAACUGUAUUAGCCGUGUAAAAAUUGUCAACCUCUGUUCGGUAGCUGUUCAUAUGUUCCUGUGUUGGGACUAAAACCACCAGUCACCAUCGUCUGGUACACAGCGUAAGCGUGCUCAGGUUUCCCACACAAACUAUAUCCACGGAUCAAAGCGUUAAACGUAAACACAUUAGGCUCAAGACCCACCCUCUGUAUCUCACUAUAAACCUUCCCAGCUUCUUCCACCAUCCCCGCGAUACCAAGAUUCAGAAUCAAAGAGUUGUAAGUGUACAGAUCAGGAGUGAUCCCCCUGCUGUUCUUCAUCUCAUUGUAAAGCUCAAGAGCUUCUUCAAGCCUCCGAGACUUCCCUAGUCCGUUGAUUAUGAGAUUGUAACACACCACAUCAGGGUCUAGCCCUGACUCCGUCACCUCCUUGAAGUAACGCAAGGCUUCGUCCACUCUUCCUACCAUACAAAGACAAUCAACUAGAACCGAGUAAGUCUUGAGAUCAGGUCUCACUCCUUCUCUAACCAUCCUUUUGAAUAACUUGCAAGCCGCGUCAGCCUCGCCAGCUUUGCCAAACCCGUUGAUGAGGAUGUUGUAGAUAGCACAGUUUGGGCUGCAUCCAUAGUCCAACAUUCCUUCAAAGAGUUGUUUCGCUUCAUACAAUCUCCCCGACUUUGAAAGACCAUCGAUGAGAGGACCAUACGUGCAAACACUCGGAGAGAAGUCUCCAUCACUGAUAAGGUCAUAGUAUAAAUCAAGAGCCUCGUCUACAUUCCCAGCUUUCACUAGCCCGGAGAUGACAAUGUUGUGAGUGAUUGUGUUCGGUACACACUCAUGUGAAGACAUCUCUUUAUACAUCUCAAAGAGUUCUUCCAAUUUUCCUGACUUUCCGUAAGCAUCAAGCAAGAAGUUGUAGGUAGCAACAUCAGGGAUGCAGCAACCACUACUCUUCAUCUCUAGGAACAGUUCCUCCGCUGCUUCAAUCAUAUCAGCUUCAAGAAGGCCACUGAUCAACAGAUUAUAAACCGGAAGUUUCGGUUUAACACCAAGAUCUUUAGUGAAUCUAUCAAAUAACAUUCUAGCAACUGAGGGAUUAUCACCAUGUUUCAAACAGUAUCUCACCAUCGGCAACAGGAUUGAUUCACCAUCUCUACAAACUCCAUUAACAACCAACCUCUCAGAAAACAAAACUGCGUUCUCUACUCCACCUUCAGCCAAUACAGAUCCCAUCAAGUCCUCCCAGAAGAGACUAGCCGGCUGAUCUUCAGAGCUGUGAAGAAAGCUGGUGAUGAUCUUGUAAGCGUCUUCGAUUAAACCCACCUUGACAACACCUGGGAGAAGAGUGCAUAGUGUAACAAAGUCAGGCCCCACAAGCUUCUUCAUCUGGUGGAAGAAACACAUCGCAUCUUUAACUCGACCCUUCUUCAUCAAACCGUAUAUAAUAGUAUUGUAAGUACAAACAUCAGGGACGCAACUCAUCUUGAAGAACAUCUUCAACGCCACCAUCACCUCGUCGUUUUUGCAAAGACAGUCCAAGAGAGUGUUGAACGUCACCGUAUUAGGCGGACAUCCUUUCUCCUCCAUCACUUCAAACAACUCAAUCGCCUCUCGGAUCUUUCCGUUCUUCCCCAAACCCGAGAGGAGAGUGUUGUAAGUCACAACGGUAGGCUUGAGCUUCAUCUCCUCCAUCCUAGUGAACAUCUCCCACGCCUCGUCCACUCUAUCACCUUUGUAAAGAGUAUUGAUUAAAGAGUUGACAACGAUCACAUCAGGCUCACACUCGUUUUCCAGCAUCUCGGACAUCAGCUUAAUAGCUUCGUCUACUUCCCCAACCUUGCUAUAGCACUUCAUCAUCAUGUUGUACGUCACCGAGUCAGGUGCAAGACCAAUGUUCUUCAACCCGUAGAAGAUUUGUUUCGCUUCUUUAUCCUUUCCUGCUUUAGCUAAACUGUAGAGAGACGCGUUACACGCCACAAUGUUUGGAGCUAUUCCUUUACUCUUCAUCCUCUCAAAAGUCUCGAGAGCGCUGACUGAAUCUCCAGUCUUCCCAUAGUAAUCAAUAAAAACAAUGUAGGUGUAUGCAGUAGGGGUAACACUAAAAGACUCCAUAUUAUCAAAAACCUCAAGCGCAUCGUCUAACUUAUGAACUCUUAGUAAACCACAGAUCAACGUGUUGUAUGUGUGAAGAUUCGGUAACACACCUUGCUCCCUCAUCACAUUUAAAGUCUCAAACGCCUCACUAAACCUCCCACCUUUGCAAAGAGCGUCCACUAGAAUAGUGAACGUUACAACGUCAGGGACAUGCCCAUCAUUCUCCAUCUCACUCCAAAACCGCCUCACUGACUCCAAAUCUCUGCUAUCACUAAACCUAUCCAGCAAAGUGAUGUAAGUCACACGGUCCGGUUUGUGUCUUCCCGUUUUCAUCAUGGAGAAAACCUCCUUAGCGCAGUCCAGCUUCCCAGCGGUGCAAAGCGCGUCGAUGAGAACAGUGUAGGUAACCACAUCGGGUCCACACCCUUCCUCAUCCAUCCUCUUGAGUAUACCAUACGCUUCGUUGAUCUUCCCCGCUCUACCGAGGACACGGAUACAUAUCGUGAACGUGUAGACGUUAGGCUUUAGCCCCAACGUCUCCAUCUCUUUGAGUAGACUCAUCACAGAGUCAAUGUCUCUUCUUUUCCCUAACCCUACCAUGAGGGAUGAGUACGUCUGCAAGCUAGGCUUGAAACCGUUAAAGAUCAUGCUUCUAUAAACCUCCAUCGCCUCUACACAAAGCCUAGACUUGAGGAGAAGAUGAAUCAGGCCGUUGUAUGAAUAAGCAUUCAAAGGGAAACCAGAGUCUCUCAUCUUCGUUAGUGCAUAAGGCGCUUGCCGCAACCCACCUUUGAUAGAAAGAGACUUGAAGAUAGUCAAGAAAGUGGUGGCGUCUCUCUUUAUGAUUCGUUUCUGCAUCAUAUCGAACACGUAAGCCAUCUCCUGGAGUUUCCCAUCGACUCUUAAAGCUUCGAGGAUGUAGUUGCAAGUCUCUGUGGUGUGACUCUGAGCUACCUCUUUGAAAUAGGAAAACGCGGAGGCAGUAUCGGGAAGCGACUUUAGAAUCUUGGCGACUUCUUCUUCACCUGAGGAUUUGAACUUCUUCUUUUUGUUUAUCAUUGAAACCGAAAAGUCGGAGCCUUUCAUGGUGUUUCUCUGUUUCUUGCGGUGGAACAGAGACCCAACCUUCAAAGUGUGGAACUUUAAUCCGCCGUUAAGCAAACUGUUGCGUUUCUCUUUGAUGUUACUAACGAGGAAAGUGUCACUGACCGUUAUAUCGCCGCAGAGACUCGUGGAGCAGAGUAAAGCUGUCAUCUUUCUUUUUUUAAAAAAUUAAGAGCAAUAUCACAUUUCAAAGUGGAGAAGCUGUGACUAACAAAACACGAAGACGAAGAUAAGAUGAAUAGUCAUGGAGAUUUGGAUACGUCUCCGUUCACCAGACGGCAACAACACUACGGAGCUGGUGAUUACGGUGAACCGGGGAUUUUUUGAUUAAAAUCUUGUCGAAAGGAUAAAAUCUCAGUGGCUCGCUCCACUAGCUACCUCCCAAAAUAUCUUGAGGCCCAAUAGUGGCUCAUUUGUUGAAAACAUGUUACCUUCUUUAGGCCCAACAAUGAAUUUAGGUGAUGCAGUUAGGCGUAGAUCUUCAGGUAGUAUUGUCGGUUGUCGAAUCGUCUAUGUAAUAUUUCCUAUAUCAUAAUUGUAAGAUCAUAAUAAAUCAGCGUUAAAAAAAAAAAAAAAAAGCAUGUUGCUUUUUUGGUUUGCUUAAAUUUUUUACAUAUGUUUGAAUUCUUUGUAAUUUUUAAUUUAAAUAAGUGCAAAGGCAUUCCAAUUAUAUAAAGGGAUAAUAGUUUAAUUUAAUCUUGUGAAUUCUGAAUUAGUAACAACAAGACUAGGGAUAGAUAGCAAAGAUCUCUGCUUCAUAUUUGAAAAUUAAUAAAUAGAAUAGAAUUCAAGACUAAAACUUAAAAAAAAAAAACUGAAAAGAUCUCUGCUCUCUCAGAACAAGGCCCAGAGUCCAAGAACAAGGCCCAGAACACUGAAGACGCCGGUGAGCUUAGCAGCGCCACUAGUAGGAGCAACGGCGGGACCAUCAGAUGGAGAAGGAGCCGGUGAGAGAGAGCUACGAGGAGUGACUACCACAAGGCGUAGCUUCUGCCCCUUUUGACAGUGACCUUGUGUUCCACUUAUGAAGUAGACCGGACCGGGUUGUUCUAGCUUCACUUUGGUGUUCCCGUCGGUGUAGCUGGCUUUCGGGCUCGUGGUGUUGCAUUUCUCGUAAGCCUCUCUUGUCACUUGCAGCACCGAGUCUUUACCAGCUUCGUAGCUGAAAACUGAAAUUAACAUGUGACAAUGUUAGAAACAGAGUACAUCGAAGAUUACAAAAAAUAAGUACAUUAAUGAAAAUGGGCUUAUGGGUUUUGUAAGGAUUAGAGAUAGUGAUGAGAAGUUGAAUGUAUACCGAGAAAGUCUCCGACUUUGAAGCGAGCCUUUUGAGACCAGUCGUUGAAAGAGUCAGAAGAGGAAGGAGGGAUCUUCCAGUCACCGGAUUUUCCACCGACGGUUACCUCAUUGGCAUUUACGGACAAGAAGAACAUGCAGAGGAAGAUGGUGACUAGAAGAGAAGAAGAAGCCAUUGGUUCUCUACUGAGUUUAAGCACCACAAAAGUGUUAGUGUGUGAGAAUAUGUUUGAAUGAGUUGGAGAUGAACAGUCUGUGAGGAGCUUGUGUGGUUUUUAUAGAUCUAGUGAGAGACUUGAGAUGAGAACUAGCCGUUGAAGUUAAUGGAAAUUAAAGGAAAAGAUGAAAAAUGUUUGAUGUAGCCGUUGAUGAAGGUGGCGUAACGGCUAGGUAAGAGACAAGACCUGGAAUCUGAUCAUUACUGAUUACACAGUCUUCUAGGAAGACUGGUCAAGGCUACCUGUGUCUGUUUUUUACUUUCGUUUGAUUGCCAGUUUAGCUGGGCUUCUAUAGUGUUGGGUUGAAAAAGAUAAGAACAUAUCUCCACAAAGCCCACAAGACGCGGAAGACCCACAGAAACUUCCAUAUAAAAUGUAAAGAAGCAUACAUUUGCACGUGAAUCUAUGAUAUGUUUAAGGUGUGACACCUGCCUAAUACGUUUAUUACAGAAAAUAAACAGCAUCAGCUAGGUGUCCCUUACUGAGGACACAUUAUCAAACUCAACAACACUACGUGUCUUCGUGACUCUUACUAUCUCCAUAACCCAUUUACUAAAGCAACACCGUUUCUUCCUUUGGUUAGGAUAGUCCCAAGAAGAUAUUGAUCCAAAAAAAAAAAAGAUGGCUGGAGAAAAUGACUGGAGGAAAACGGCGGAUACAACGAAGAUGAGUCCGGAAGGAGUGAAAGCUGCGGGGGUUGAAUCAUCGAAGAGGCCACCAGGGAGUAAUCCUGGUGGUGUUCUCCACCAACGCCGUAACUUGCCAUACAGUUACACCACCAUGGUUAUCGCUGGAUUAGCUAUAUCCGGUGCAGUCAUGUACACUGUUAUGUAUGCUAAGAAAAAGCCUGAGGCUAGUGCCACUGAUGUAGCUAAAGUGGCCACAGGGACGGCUAAACCGGAAGAUACACAUCCAAGGAAAUAAAACCCUCAUUAGAAAAAUGGGUUUAUCUUCCUUUUGUUUGUUUUGUAUUUUUGUUUUUGCUUCUGCUUAAUUCUCAGAACUUUUUUGUUUUCUUGUUAUGUAGUAAUAACAAAACAAGUUUCAAUACAAAAAUAUCCUAUCAACUAAAGAUAUAACAAAUUAAAUGCGGGGAAUAGAACAGAGAUUGUGUAAUUUUUAUCAAGAAAAAAAAAACAGAGGUUGUGUAGCUAUAAUACUUCAGUGCUUAUUCAAGUUUACUGAGUGGAGGGAAACACUUUUUACGAUUUGUAGCUGUUUACAAGUAUCACGUUUCACAGUUUUGAGAUAGGUUCGCAGACUCACAUUAUGGACUUGAGUUGUGUGUUUAUAUUUUGGACCUUAUCCUAAAUGUGAUGAGAGUAUCAUCAUGCAUGGUUUUCAGGGAUUCAAUCCGGCUUUUUUUCUCUUUCAGUUUGAUUUUGAUUACGUUUACUGUAAUUUGGGCUCACAUUGAACUCUCUAAAAGAGAACAUACUUUGAAAUAUUUCAAAAAUUUAAGUUUAUUUGUAGUUUUAUUGGUUUUUAUUGUAAUGAUGAAGAAAGAAUGAAUCGGCUUAGUCUUAUCUUAUGUUUUUUUUUUUUUUUUAAAAGAGAGAGAAAGGAGAGAGAAAGGAGAGAGAAAGGAGAUCUGAGAUUUCUCUCCGGCGUACGGCCGGCGCGUGAGCGUCCGUGCCGUCGCCGGAAUCCUUAUUCUUGUUCAAAGAGGUUGCUUUUAACCUCUUCUUCGUCGCGCCUCACCGAUUUGCUUUGUCGGAGCUCUGGAUUGGAAUCAUCACUCAUCGGUGGUCUCCUCGCGUGGAGGGAAGACGCGGUCGCGUGGUGGCUAACGGCGUGAGAAGAGAGGCUUGCAUGUGUCAGUGGUUUGUUUCUCCGGGAGGUGGAGGCUUCUUCAGCUUCGCCGCCGCCGGUUCUAGUUCCCGGGAAGGGGAGGCUUUCUCUGCUCCGUCUUCGCCGGUUUUGGCUCCGGAGGGUAGGGGCUCACAUAGCCCUACGCUGUCGGUUUAGGUCCCUUAUCUUUUAGGGUUUUGGUUUUAUCCUGGUUUUAUUAUGAUUCGGUUGGUUGUGGGUCGUCGGAGGAGAGGAAAGUUCUCCGGCGGAAAGAGUGGCGAUGCAUGCGACGUCUCUUCUUGAGGGUCUGUGGUGAACGGUGUUGGAGGAGAUCUCGCCGCGGCGAUUGAUUACCUCCGGUUUUUAGAGACCCAAAGAUGGGAUGGUCGGAAGAAGAUUGUCGGAGCUUUUGAGUUCCGGGGUGGUCGGAAGAUGGGAUGUUUGGAUCUCCGACGAAAACGCGAAGCGGUGGUGACGUGGUGUCCUCGCAACACGUGUAUCCUCGACGGCGAGGAUGGCAACACGUGUCCAAGCAGCAGAGAUGCUGGGAUGCGAGGCGGCGAAGUCAAUCGCGUGAAGGGUUAGGGUUUUCUUCAAGUUGGGCCGGAAUGUGUGGCCCAGUUGAGAAGCGUGUUUGCCCCUUUGUUUCUAUUGGGCUUUUGUUUGUUUUUUUAUUUGUAUUGGGCUUGGCCCAUUUUUAAUAUUAAAAACCUUUCGACGGAAAAAAAAA